GCCGGGGUCGCCUAGCCUGGUAGGGCGUCGGAUUGCUAAGCCAUAUCGAUGGUUGUAAAGAUCCGAUGGGCCUUAGGCCCUCGUGGGUUCAAAUCCCACCCCCGGCG
rnacentral:tRNA from 1 species